rnacentral:lncRNA from 1 species
CAAGACCAGCGUAUUUAUGUUUCAGAUUUAACCAAAUAUAACUGUGUAAAGAGACAUCUCUGGUGUGUUCCCAUAGUAUUAAUCUUCACUACAUAACACAGGCGUGUGGAAAUGGAACAGCUCCAACAGAGAAAUGAGUUGCCGAAGUCCCAAGUCACAUCCCUAAAAAGAGCAUUAUGGGAAGGAGAAGUUGCUACUACGCGACCUCCACAAAUUCAGAGCCCAUGACUACUGGCUUUUAAGUCCUUCGUGGAAUCUCUGAGGAAGCACUCCUCACAGACAGUAGCCAAGAAGCGAUUCUGAGAUUUG